UGAGUAGUACGUACGCAAGUAUGAAACUUAAAGGAAUUGACGGGAUCCCGCACAAGCGGUGGAUCAUGUUGUUUAAUUCGAAGAUACACGAAAAACCUUACCAGGUCUUGACAUUAUCCUGCGAAGCUAUAGAAAUAUAGGGGAGGUUAUCAGGAUAACAGGUGGUGCAUGGUUGUCGUCAGCUCGUGUCGUGAGAUGUUAGGUUAAGUCCUAAAACGAGCGCAACCCUUGUCGUUAGUUACCAGCACGUUAUGGUGGGGACUUUAGCGAGACUGCCAAUGAAAAAAUUGGAGGAAGGUGAGGAUUACGUCAAAUCAUCAUGCCCCUUAUGAUCUGGGCUACAAACGUGAUACAAUGGCUAUUACAAAGAGCAGCUGAAACGUGAGUUGUUAGCUAAUCUCAAAAAAAUAGUCUCAGUUCGGAUUGAAGUCUGCAACUCGACUUCAUGAAGUUGGAAUCGCUAGUAAUCGCGAAUCAGCAUGUCGCGGUGAAUACGUUCUCGGGGUUUGUACACACCGCCCGUCAAACCAUGAAAGUUGACAAUACCCAAAACCAGUCGCUUAACUACUUCGGUAGAGGGAGCUGUCUAAGGUAGGGUCGAUGAUUGGGGUUAAGUCGUAACAAGGUAUCCCUACCGGAAGGUGGGGAUGGAUCACCUCCUUUCUAAGGAAAUGUCGUAUCAUGAUCAUCUUCAGUUUUGAAAGACUUAGAGUAGAUAAGUUUUUCUUUUGGCGUAGAGGAAGGGCCUAUAGCUCAGUUGGUAGAGCACACGCUUGAUAAGCGUGCGGUCCAA
rnacentral:rRNA from 1 species